UCCCCAGAAACUGUGCCUCCCCCAUCCUUCCACACCCCUUGAGAGUGCGCCCGGGAAGAAAGAGGCCAGCUCCAAUAGGGGUGAGGGGUGCACCGAAGAAGUCCUGAAGGGUUGAGAACAUAUUGGAAGCCCCAUUCCCAUCCAUGAUGUAAAGACUAGAAUCGCUUUUAAUGCUUUUAUCCUGGCACAAGAACCCCAGGAGACUCCUUCCUCAGUCCUAAAACAACCAGGACCUCGGAAGCCUGGACAUCACAGAGACUUCUGGCAGAGACAAAGAUGGCCUCCAGCUUGGUUGAGGUGGCAGCAAGGCAGUGAGAGUCCAUAGGGGUGCCCAAGGAGGGGUCUGGGGGAAAUCAAAAGCAGUCAUUUCUU